AGCGAACGCUGGCGGCAGGCUUAACACAUGCAAGUCGAGCGGGCAUCUUCGGGUGUCAGCGGCGGACGGGUGAGUAACGCGUGGGAACGUGCCUUCUGGUUCGGAAUAACUCAGGGAAACUUGAGCUAAUACCGGAUACGCCCUUUUGGGGAACGGUUUACUGCCGGAAGAUCGGCCCGCGUCUGAUUAGCUAGUUGGUGGGGUAACGGCCUACCAAGGCGACGAUCAGCAGCUGGUCUGAGAGGAUGAUCAGCCACACUGGGACUGAGACACGGCCCAGACUCCGACGGGAGGCAGCAGUGGGGAAUAUUGGACAAUGGGGGCAACCCUGAUCCAGCCAUGCCGCGUGAGUGAUGAAGGCCUUAGGGUUGUAAAGCUCUUUUAUCCGGGACGAUAAUGACGGUACCGGAGGAAUAAGCCCCGGCUAACUUCGUGCCAGCAGCCGCGGUAA
rnacentral:rRNA from 1 species